GACUAAGUAGCUCAGUUGGUAGAGCACAUCCCUUUUAAGGAUGGGGUCCUGGGUUCGAGCCCCAGCUUGGUCA
rnacentral:tRNA from 1 species